rnacentral:lncRNA from 1 species
GGGCGGGCUUGGAAAUGGAGACAAACUCCUCCGAGCCGUUGACGCUCAGCCGGACAGGGCUUAGGAGUCCCGAGCCCAGUCCUGUUCACCCCCAUUUUAUAGAAAGGGAAACUGAGGCCCAGACAGGGGAAAGUCACUUGCCGAGGUGUUUACUGCAGACUGCGUUGACCGAACCUGCUUUUUCACAGCAGUCAGACAGCAAGCCCUCUCGUCCCUCCAGGACCCUAGUUCCUGGGGAGGAAGGCGUUCUCAGCGAUAAUGACCAGCAUUAAAGUGCUCCCCGUUACCGGCGUCACUGCCCCAGCCAGUGGAGGCCCCGGAGAGGGACUGAAGAUGUGUCACCUAACUUCUCUGAACCUUCCUCCCUCAAGGAGAACUGAUAAUCCCUAACUCACAGUUCUGUGAGGAUUGAAUGCUUUAAGCAUGCAGGUUAAGUGGCUACUGAAGGCAGUUUUUGUGGACAGAAACUGGUCCCAGCGUCAGAUCUGCGAUGCUGCCCAGGCAUGGUGGUGACCCUCUCUAAACAAGCACACUCAGAAUUUCCCUGGCUCAGCUGGGCGACUCAGAAGAAAACUGGCCAUCAGCUUCUGCCUCAAGCGGUGAAGAGAAAUUGCUGGACAUUGCAGAAAAAUCAGAAAAUGUCAGUAAGUUAAAAGAAAUCAGGCCAGGCACAGUGGCUCAAGCCUGUAAACCCAGCACUCUGGGAAGCCAAGAUCACCUGAGGGCAGAUCACCGAGGUGCUGUGGCAAGGAAGACAGAGCAUGUGUGUUGUGAACACUCAUUAUAGGAUCAUCCCUGCUGUGCCAGGUGCCUGGUGCUGGAUGCAGAAAGCAGGACACAUGGAAAGAUGGUGUGUUCACAAAGAAUUUGGAAGAAAGCCAGAUGGUGACAAGAGUGUGUCUCUGAAUGCCCCUUUUGGGGGUCACUAAAAAUGCCCCAGGGUUUUUAGUUAGACCAAUAAGGAGGCUUCAAAGAAAUGACAUCUGAGCCGGGUUGUGAUACAUCUAGGAUGUCAACAGGCAGAGAAAGGGCAGGGACUGGGAGUAAGGAAAGAACAUCUGUUCAAGGCACAACACUGAUUACCAAAGUUUCUAUCAUCCUUAUGUUGACAACGGACAUAAUUUUAACCUUUUGUAUAAGCCAGACUGUGAAGGAUUAUUAGCAGAAUAAAAGCAUCUAUUGGGCCUGGU